UACGUAGGGUGCAAGCGUUGUCCGGAAUUAUUGGGCGUAAAGAGCUCGUAGGCGGCUUGUUGCGUCAGCUGUGAAAACCCGCAGCUCAACUGUGGGCUUGCAGCUGAUACGGGCAGGCUUGAGUUCGGUAGGGGGGACUGGAAUUCCUGGUGUAGCGGUGAAAUGCGCAGAUAUCAGGAGGAACACCGGUGGCGAAGGCGGGUCUCUGGGCCUGUACUGACGCUGAGGAGCGAAAGCGUGGGGAGCGAACAGG
rnacentral:rRNA from 1 species